CCGGCUGAUGAGACUAAGGCGAAUGCGACUCCGGCUCUCUGCCCCUGGGCUCCGGGGGUGGGGUGGGGGGGCUGCAGAUGGGAUCUGAGAUCUUAGUGGGGGGCCUGAGGCCUGGCUCCCCACUGUAAGGUCAGAUCAAUAGCGCAGUGGCCUUGCCUCAUUGCUGCUGCUGUGCCCAGGAGCUGACAGCAGCCUGCAGGGAGGCCCACAGGUGCAGGGCGGAGCAGGAGCCACCUGAGCGCAACCUUGGACCUGACG
ensembl:snoRNA SCARNA12 small Cajal body-specific RNA 12